rnacentral:rRNA from 1 species
CCCUUAGAUGUUCUGGGCCGCACACGCGCUACACUGAAGGAGGCAGCGUGUACUCCUGGAUCGAAAGAUUUGGGUAACCCGCGAAUCUCCUUCGUGCUAGGGAUUGAGGUUUGCAAUUAUCCUUCAUGAACGAGGAAUUCCCAGUAAGUGCAAGUCAUAAGCUUGCGCUGACUACGUCCCUGCCCUUUGUACACACCGCCCGUCGCUACUACCGAUUGAAUGAUUUAGUGAGGACUUCGGACUGGGACCGAUGUGGCUUUCGGGCUGCGUCGGUAUUCUGGAAAGAUGUCCAAACUGUAUCAUUUAGAGGAAGUAAAANUCGUANCA